rnacentral:rRNA from 1 species
UACGUAGGGUGCGAGCGUUAAUCGGAAUUACUGGGCGUAAAGCGCGCGUAGGCGGUUUUGUAAGUCAGGUGUGAAAUCCCCGGGCUUAACCUGGGAACUGCGCUUGUGACUGCAAGACUCGAGUACGGCAGAGGGGGGUAGAAUUCCACGUGUAGCAGUGAAAUGCGUAGAGAUGUGGAGGAAUACCGCUGGCGAAGGCAGCCCCCUGGGUCGAUACUGACGCUGAUGCACGAAAGCGUGGGGAGCAAACAGG